GACGAACGCUGGCGGCGUGCUUAACACAUGCAAGUCGAACGGUGAAGCUCCAGCUUGCUGGAGUGGAUCAGUGGCGAACGGGUGAGUAACACGUGAGCAACCUGCCCCUGACUCUGGAAUAAGCGCUGGAAACGGCGUCUAAUACUGGAUACGAGAAGGGUCCGCAUGGGCACUUUCUGGAAAGUUUUUCGGUUGGGGAUGGGCUCGCGGCCUAUCAGCUUGUUGGUGAGGUAAUGGCUCACCAAGGCGACGACGGGUAGCCGGCCUGAGAGGGCGACCGGCCACACUGGGACUGAGACACGGCCCAGACUCCUACGGGAGGCAGCAGUGGGGAAUAUUGCACAAUGGGUGAAAGCCUGAUGCAGCGACGCCGCGUGAGGGAUGACGGCCUUCGGGUUGUAAACCUCUUUCAGCAGGGAAGAAGCGAAAGUGACGGUACCUGCAGAAGAAGCACCGGCUAACUACGUG
rnacentral:rRNA from 1 species